rnacentral:rRNA from 1 species
AAUCCUGGCGGCGAGUGGCGAACGGGUGAGUAAUACAUCGGAACGUGCCCAAUCGUGGGGGAUAACGCAGCGAAACGUGUUGCUAAUACCGCAUAAGAUCUACGGAUGAAAGCAGGGGAUCGCAAGACCUUGCGCGAAUGGAGCGGCCGAUGGCAGAUUAGGUAGUUGGUGAGGUAAAGGCUCACCAAGCCUUCGAUCUGUAGCUGGUCUGAGAGGACGACCAGCCACACUGGGACUGAGACACGGCCCAGACUCCUACGGGAGGCAGCAGUGGGGAAUUUUGGACAAUGGGCGAAAGCUGAUCCAGCCAUGCCGCGUGCAGGAUGAAGGCCUUCGGGUUGUAAACUGCUUUUGUACGGAACGAAACGGCCUUUUCUAAUAAAGAGGGCUAAUGACGGUACCGUAAGAAUAAGCACCGGCUAACUACGUGCCAGCCGCCG